rnacentral:rRNA from 1 species
CCUACGAGAGUCAGCAGUGAGGAAUAUUGGUCAAUGGACGAGAGUCUGAACCAGCCAAGUAGCGUGAAGGAUGACUGCCCUAUGGGUUGUCAACUUCUUUUAUAAAGGAAUAAAACGAGGCACGUGUGCCUUUUUGCAUGUACUUUAUGAAUAAGGAUCGUCUAACUCCGUGCCAGCAGCCGCGGUAAUACGGAGGAUCCGAGCGUUAUCCGGAUUUAUUGGGUUUAAAGGGAGCGUAGAUGGGUUGUUAAGUCAGUUGUGAAAGUUUGCUGCUCAACCGUAAAAUUGCAAUUGAUAAUGGCAGUCGUGAGUACAGUUGAGGUAGGCGGAAUACGUGGUGUAGAGGUGAAAUGCUUAGAUAUCACGAAGAACCCUGAUUGCGAAUGCAGCUUACUAAACUGUGACUGACAUUGAUGCUCGAAAGUGUGGGUAUCAAACAGGAUUAGAUACCCCAGUAGUC